AGGACGAACGCUGGCGGCGUGCCUAACACAUGCAAGUCGAACGCUGUCCAUUCGGUGGCAACACUGAUGAAGACGGAGUGGCGAACGGGUGAGUAGCACGUGAGCAACCUGCCCCGAAGACCGGGACAACACCGGGAAACCGGUGCUAAUACCGGAUGCCCCCACCGGGCCGCAUGACCUGGUGAGGAAAUGGAUUCCGCUUCGGGAGGGCUCGCGGCCUAUCAGCUUGUUGGUGGGUAAUGGCCUACCAAGGCUUCGACGGGUAGCUGGUCUGAGAGGACGAUCAGCCACACUGGGACUGAGACACGGCCCAGACUCCUACGGGAGGCAGCAGUGGGGAAUCUUGCGCAAUGGGCGAAAGCCUGACGCAGCAACGCCGCGUGAGGGACGAAGGCUUUCUGAGUUGUAAACCUCUUUCAGCAGGAACGAUAGUGACGGUACCUGACAGAAGAAGCACCGGCCAACUACGCGCCAGCAGCCGCGGUAA
rnacentral:rRNA from 1 species